rnacentral:rRNA from 1 species
UGGCGACCGGCGCACGGGUGAGUAACCCGUAUCCAACCUGCCGAUAACUCGGGGAUAGCCUUUCGAAAGAAAGAUUAAUAUCCGAUAGCAUAUCAAGAUCGCAUGAUCUUGAUAUUAAAGAAUUUCGGUUAUCGAUGGGGAUGCGUUCCAUUAGUUAGUUGGCGGGGUAACGGCCCACCAAGACGACGAUGCGUAGGGGUUCUGAGAGGAAGGUCCCCCACACUGGUACUGAGACACGGACCAGACUCCUACGGGAGGCAGCAG